CAAACAUUUCAAGACUAAUUGAGAAGGCACAUGUUUCCUGUCUAUAGUGGAGCUCCAGUCUGCAGCUAGACUACUUUGCAUUGUUCUGUUGUUCUCCUCCUUCUCCCAUUGACUUCCUGUGCAGCUGCUGCUGGACACGGCCAGAGCACUGAGAGAUAUCAGGUAUUGAUGUAACUGGAGUGAAUAAGGAAACCUUCUUCCUGAGCACAGACAUUGGAGCCUGUUAUCAGCAUGAACUCAUAUGUGUUAGCAUGGGAAAAGCAGACAACGCCUCAGAUGCAUAUAGAAAAAACCUGGGCAGCAAUAUCUUGCAAAAUAACUCCAGAUGGAGCAUGAGAGGAAAACGCAGGGCACUGCAUGUGCAGAAAGCUGCGGCACAUCUGAAACAGGAGGCUCAUAUAAUACAGAACCAAAAAAACUUUCUUAAAUAAAUGUUCCCUUUAAAUUUACCAAAUCAAGAAAACAUACCCCAGGCAACACUCUACACCUCAGCAGAAUUACUGAGGUGCCCUACCUGUCCUGCA